rnacentral:rRNA from 1 species
CGAACCUGCCUUGGAUGGGGAAUAACAGCUGGAAACAGCUGCUAAUACCGCAUAAUAUGUCUGAACCGCAUGGCUCUGGACAUCAAAGAUUUAUCGCUCUGAGAUGGACUCGCGUCUGAUUAGCUAGUUGGUGGGGCAACGGCCCACCAAGGCGACGAUCAGUAGCCGGACUGAGAGGUUGGCCGGCCACAUUGGGACUGAGACACGGCCCAGACUCCUACGGGAGGCAGCAG